UGUGUGUGUGAUGUAUUUCUGUCACAUGACAUGGUCAUGCAGUUGUCUACAUUAAUCUGCAGUAUCUUUAUUCGUUUCUUUUUACAUUAUAGGAACAUCUUUGCUGAUACACUUCCUGUGCAUGGGAAAUAUACGCUCACCUGGAUGUUGACCAAAGCUAAUGUAAAUACAGGUGUAAAUUGGUUAUGGGUUGAAUUAUGAGCUAUUCUCUAUGUCAGCUGGCAACAGAGAAGCAAAAUAGACAGACAAUGUGACAAUUAAAGUAGUUUUUCAGGCUGUAUCUGUAAUCACAGGAAAUAGACUUCAUUCUUUGACAAUGAGGAAAAUGCUUCAGGGAACAAAUUCCCACAUGAAUUAUCCUCGAUAACAGCAAAACUGUUGUGGUGGCAGCCCGGCUGACGGUCCACUCACCUCAGUCCUCCACUCCGUCAGCUGGGCUUGCCACCCUGCCCUCUCCACUCAGACCUCUUCCACGGCGUCCUCCUGGCUCCUCCCCGUGCCUCCUCGCUUCCUCGGUCCCCAGGGCCCCGUGCCCAUGUUUCCCCCCGGCGUCCGCCUCUCCCUCACCUCCACUCCCUCAACCCUGUUUCCCCUUCAAUAAAGCCUGUUCUUCCCGAG